GCGUGGGGGAUAACGCGGCGAAAGCCGCGCUAAUCCCGCAUACGCUCACACCACUGUGUGAGGAAACCUCUUCGGAGGGCGCGAGGAGGAGCGUGCGGCCCAUCAGGUUGUUGGCGGGGUAAUGGCCCACCAAGCCGGUGACGGGUAGCUGGUCUGUGAGGACAACCAGCCAGACUGGGACUGAGAUACGGCCCAGACUCCUACGGGAGGCAGCAGCAAGGAAUUUUCCCCAAUGGGCGCAAGCCUGAGGGAGCAACGCCGCGUGCAGGAGGACGGCCUUCGGGUUGUAAACUGCUUUUGGGAGCGAAGAGACUGACGGUAGCUCCCGAAUAAGCCCCGGCUAACUCUGUGCCAGCAGCCGCGGUAAGACAGAGGGGGCAAGCGUUGUCCGGACUGACUGGGCGUAAAGCGUCCGCAGGUGGCCUGGCAAGUACGGUGUGAAAUCAGGCGGCUCAACCGCCUGCGGUCAUCGUAGACUGCCAAGCUGGAGGACUGGAGAGGUCGGUGGAAUUGCCGGUGUAGUGGUGAAAUGCGUAGAGAUCGGCAGGAACACCCAUGGGGAAGCCAACCGACUGGCCAGUGCCUGACACUGAGGGACG
rnacentral:rRNA from 1 species